GACGAACGCUGGCGGCGUGCUUAACACAUGCAAGUCGAGCGGUAAGGCCCUUUCGGGGGUACACGAGCGGCGAACGGGUGAGUAACACGUGGGUGACCUGCCCUUAGCUCUGGGAUAAGCCUGGGAAACUGGGUCUAAUACCGGAUAUGACUCCAUGACGCAUGUUGUGGGGUGGAAAGCCUUGUGCGGCUAGGGAUGGGCCCGCGGCCUAUCAGCUUGUUGGUGGGUUGAUGGCCUACCAAGGCGACGACGGUAGCCGGCCUGAGAGGGCGACCGGCCACACUGGGACUGAGACACGGCCCAGACUCCUACGGGAGGCAGCAGUGGGGAAUCUUGCGCAAUGGGCGAAAGCCUGACGCAGCGACGCCGCGUGAGGGAUGACGGCCU
rnacentral:rRNA from 1 species